UGAAUCAACGAUAAAAAAUAAUCAACUGAGAAGAAAAAAAUUACUGAUUUGGCCUUCAUUUUUACCACUAACUUAAAUCUGGUGAGUUUUUCUUGGAUUCGUCUAGAUUAUAAUCGUCCUUAUUUAUGUGUUUUCACGAGAAACCACAUAGUUAAGGGAUAUUAUAGCCGAGACCUCAUUAAUCCCCAAGUUUAUGAACUUAGGGUUCUGGACAGUUUUCGAUCUGAAAUUUGAGAAGCUUGGUGAGGAUUCGAGGGGCAGGGUUUGGGUAUGUUAAAGAGGAGAGGAAGACGAAUUAGGGGUGUUAAUUUGGCCUGGUUUGGGUGAGUUAGGGUUUUGGCCGGAAAUUUUGAUCCAAGGUUCGAAGAGUUUGGUUGUGAUUUGAAGGAAAC
rnacentral:lncRNA from 1 species